rnacentral:rRNA from 1 species
GUGCUCCCCCGCCAAUUCCUUUAAGUUUCAUCCUUGCGGGCAUACUCCCCAAGCAGCAGGCUUAACAACUUCUCUCCGGCACUGGGCGCCCACUAAGGACCCCCAACACCAAGCCCGCAGCGUUUACACCCUGGACUACCGGGGUAUCUAAUCCCGUUUGCGCCCCAGGGCUUCGUCCCUCACCGUCGGAUCCGUUCUAGUCAGACGCCUUCGCCACCGGUGGUCCUUCCAGGAUUACAGGAUUUUACCCCUACCCCAGAAGUACCUCUGACCUCUCCCGGUCCCAAGUCUCCCAGUCUCCCCGGACUUCGGACAGUUAAGCUGCCCGAUUUACCCAAGGAUUUAGAAGACCGGCUACGGACGUUUUAGGCUCAAUAAUAUCGACCACCACUUGGGGCGCGGGUAUUACCGCGGCGGCUGGCACCCGUCUUACCCGCCCCUUACUCCUCCUGUUUUUUAGACAGGAGAACAGCCAACACAAAGUGCUGGCACUUGGAAUUCCCUCGUCGGGGUUGCCCCCAUUGCGAAGUUUUCGCGACUGCUGCGCCCCGUAGGGCCUGGACUCAUGUCUCAGAGUCCAUCUCUGGGCUCCCUCUCUCAAGGCCCAUAUCCGUCACGGGCUAGUGGGUCCAUUACACCCACUACAGCCUGAUAGACCGCAGACCAAUCCUAAGGCACCGGAGUUUUCGGCCUGAAAGCAUUCCAGCACAUCAGACCUAUGGGGUAUUAUCCUCAGUUUCCCGAGAUUAUCCCCCACCUUAGGGCAUGUUAUCCACGUGUUACUGAGCCGU